rnacentral:RNase_P_RNA from 2 species
AGGGGGCCUGAGGCAGCCGCGUGCUUGCAAAAGCGCGAGGAAAGUCCGGGCUCCACGAAACAAGGGUGGCGGGUAACGCCCGCCGGUUCUCCGCAAGGAGAGCAAGGGAAAGUGCCACAGAGAGCAAACCGCCGAUGGCCCGGUUUUCCGGGGACAGGCAAGGGUGAAAGGGUGCGGUAAGAGCGCACCGGGGGGCUGGCAACAGCCACCGCAUGGCAAACCCCACCCGGAGCAAGGCCGAAUAGGGGCCGCGCGCCCGUCAGCAAUGGCAGGGUAGGGGUGUUUCGCCCCGAGCGGCCCGGGUUGGCUGCUAGAGCGCCGGAGCAAUCCGGCGACCAGAUGAAUGGCUGCCACCGCAGGCCCGUCCCGCAAGGGAUACAGCCUGGCGGAGACAGAACCCGGCUUAUGAUGGCCCCCUGACG